GACGAACGCUGGCGGCGUGCUUAACACAUGCCAGUCGAACGGAAAGGCCCUUCGGGGUACUCGAGUGGCGAACGGGUGCGUGACACGUGGGUGAUCUGCCCUGCACUUUGGGAUAAGCAUGGGAAACGGGGUCUAAUACUGAAUAGGGCCGGGCGCUUCAGGGGGUGGGGGGGGAAGGGUUUGCGGGUGGGGAUGGGCCCGCGGCCUAUCAGCUUGUUGGUGGGGUAGUGGCAUACCAAGACGACGACGGGUAGCCGGCCUGAGAGGGUGACCGGCCACACUGGGACUGAGAUACGGCCCAGACUCCUACGGGAGGCAGCAGUGGGGAAUAUUGCACAAUGGGCGCAAGCCUGAUGCAGCGACGCCGCGUGCGGGAUGACGGCCUUCGGGUUGUAAACCUCUUUCGCCUGUGACGAAGCGCAAGUGACGGUACCUGGUGAAGAAGCACCGGCCAACUACGUG
rnacentral:rRNA from 1 species